rnacentral:rRNA from 1 species
CACGUAGGGCGCGAGCGUUGUCCGGAAUUAUUGGGCGUAAAGAGCUCGUAGGCGGCCUGUUGCGUCCGCUGUGAAAGCCCGGGGCUUAACCCCGGGUCGGCAGUGGAUACGGGCAGGCUAGAGGUAGGUAGGGGAGACUGGAAUUCCUGGUGUAGCGGUGAAAUGCGCAGAUAUCAGGAGGAACACCGGUGGCGAAGGCGGGUCUCUGGGCCGGAACUGACGCUGAGGAGCGAAAGCGUGGGGAGCAAACAGG